GAUGAACGCUAGCGGCAGGCCUAACACAUGCAAGUCGAGGGGCAUCAUGGCGUAGCAAUACGCUGAUGGCGACCGGCGCACGGGUGCGUAACGCGUAUGGAACCUACCCACCGCAGGGGGAUAACCCGCCGAAAGGCGGACUAAUACCCCAUGGUUCCCCGACCCUGCCUGGGGUUGGGGGUAAAGCCUACGGGCGGCGGUGGAUGGCCCUGCGUGCCAUUAGCUGGCUGGUGAGGUAACGGCUCACCGAGGCAGUGAUAGGUAGGCGGCCUUAACGGGUGGUCGCCCACACUGGGAUUGAGAUACGGCCCAGACUCCUACGGGAGGCAGCAGUCGAGAAUAGUCUACAAUGGUCGAAAGACUGAUAGUGCGACGCCGCGUGAACGAAGAAGCCCUUCGGGGUGUAAAGUUCUUUUAUAUGUGAGCAGUGCUUUCUAUGUGAACAGCAUGGGGAGAGAGAUAUUAGCAUAUGAAUAAGCAACGGCUAACUCCGUG
rnacentral:rRNA from 1 species